GUUUGCAAAUACAUUGAAGGUGGACUCAUAGAACCAAAGUUAGAAUAAGUGGUUGAAAUAACUGUAAGGAAAUCUCUUAAAAAGUUGCAAGAAGCAGACAACCAACAAGAUGUAAACAAUGCCUUUGCAGAAUGUUCAGACUGGCGUGUUGAAAUUGAUGGUCUACCAUCAUCUAUUAAACUAGAGAAUAAAGACCAUUUUAUGAAAGAAGUCAUAGAAUACUUUGAUGUGAUCAAAUGCGAGCCGAUCCUUGAUCAGCUGCUUCAUGGGUUGAAAUAUUACAAUGUCAGUGCUGAGUUGUUUAUCAUCUAAGAUAAAAGUCACCAAUAUCUUGCUCUGUAUUCAAUUUCAAAUCAUUUUUUCUAUAGACUAGUUUGUUACAAUGUGGUUAAGCAAGUAAUUGUGUUCACAUUGUGGGCACUGUCAUGCUUGUUGUCUAUAUUACACUUUUCACAGUUAUUACAAAGUUUGUUAACUAAAUAAACUUGAGCAUUUUUAUUUAGUUUUAACUGAAAA